GACGAACGCUGGCGGCGCGCCUAACACAUGCAAGUCGAACGAGCGAGCGAGAGCUUGCUUUCUUGAGCGAGUGGCGCACGGGUGUGUAACGCGUGAGGAACCUGCCUCUAAGAGGGGGACAACAGUUGGAAACGACUGCUAAUACCGCAUAAGCCCACGACCCGGCAUCGGGUCGAGGGAAAAGGAGCAAUCCGCUUUGAGAUGGCCUCGCAUCCGAUUAGCUCGUUGUUGUGGUAACGGCCCACCAAGGCGAGGAUGGGUAGCCGGACGGAGAGGUUGAACGGCGACAUUGGGACUGGGACACGGCCCAGACUCCUACGGGAGGCAGCAGUGGGGAACAGUGCACAAUGGGGGAAACCCUGAUGCAGCGACGCCGGGUGGAGGAAGAAGGUCUGCGGAUUGUAAACUCCUGUUGUUGAGGAAGAUAAUGACGGUACUCAACAAGGAAGUGACGGCUAACUACGUG
rnacentral:rRNA from 1 species